rnacentral:rRNA from 1 species
CAGUCGCCACGGGAAUACGUAGGGUCCGAGCGUUGUCCGGAAUUACUGGGCGUAAAGAGCUCGUAGGUGGUUUGUCGCGUUGUUCGUGAAAACUCACAGCUUAACUGUGGGCGUGCGGGCGAUACGGGCAGACUAGAGUACUGCAGGGGAGACUGGAAUUCCUGGUGUAGCGGUGGAAUGCGCAGAUAUCAGGAGGAACACCGGUGGCGAGGGCGGGUCUCUGGGCAGUAACUGACGCUGAGGAGCGAAAGCGUGGGGAGCGAACAGGAUUAGAUACCCCAGUAGUCCCUGUCUCUUAUAC